UACCAGCACCCCGAGUGGUCGGGACGAUUAUUGGGCCUAAAGCAUCCGUAGCCGGUCAUGCAAGUCUUCCGUUAAAUCCAGCCGCUCAACCCUUGAAUGCCGGUGGAUACUGUCGGGCUAGAGUCCGGAAGAGGCGAGUGGAAUUCCCGGUGUAGCGGUGAAAUGCGUAGAUAUCUGGAGGAAUACCGUGGCGAAGGCGGCAUCCUGGACCGGCAUUGACGCUGAGGAGCGAAAGCUAGGGGAGCAAACGGG
rnacentral:rRNA from 1 species